GGGACGGUGGCCGAGUGGCUGAAGGCACAGGUUUGCUAAACCUGCACAGGGGAAACCCUGUCGGGGGUUCGAAUCCCCCCCGUUCCG
rnacentral:tRNA from 1 species